GACAUUUCUAUUCACCAGUCAGAGUGGAUCAGAGGGGGGCCAGCCACCAGCAAAGGCAGCGAGGAGGCAGAGAAACAAAAAUGCUGCUGUUCUCCCUUCAGCCACCUUGUUGCAUCUUCCUACACAGUUGUGACAUUACAUGACGCCAGUCUUCCGGCAGAAGUGAUGAAAAGAGAGCAGAAGUUCCGGCUGUCAAAGUACCUGUUUGGACACCCGCGGUUCCUCCUCAAUGUACUUCUGCUCGAUGGGGAUCAACGUUCGGAGACCAGCCUUCACCUGCCGGAGGAACAAGUGGUGAGGAUUCAAACUGAUCAAGAACGUGACGCACAUGCGUGGAGCAGAGCCCAUGUCAGAGGAAAGAGCACGAGCGAGCGCCAUCAGUCCCUCCGCCCGGAUGACCUUCACCUGAACCAUGCCGACAUCUUUCAGGUUGUGGAAUGACCUCCACAGGCUCUGAAAUGUGACACACUUGUCAGCAAGCUGGGCUUGACAAAUGGAGGAGAAGGAAAGAAGCUGAAGAACUUACAAAUGUAAUGUAUUGCAAGCGUAAAAGCUGACAUGACAAGAAACAGAAUUCUUCCACACAUGUCAAACUGAAGGCCCAAAUACAAAGUAAUUUCAUGGAACAUUUUGCGGUUCAAAUUCUACACCCAUUUAAAAAGCACCUCCAGUACAUGUUGAUAUAAGGACCCAUGAAGUGAGCUAGCCGUCAUUUUAAUGACUAUUUUCUUAUCGUUGAAAGAUUGGAAUACAGAUGCUGAAGUGGUUGCACAGGGGAAUCAUUCAUGUAUUUUACCACCAAUGUUCUAUUGUGAAUUUGUCACCCAGGUCUAAAAGUCUGUGAUGAUCUUAGAAUAAGGAAACUUGUGUGGCAUUUUAAAUACUUUGAAAAAUGGAAGUGAAGAGGAAUCCUUUGUUAGGUCUUAAAUUCAAUUUUACAAAGGUUGUAAAAGGCCUUAGGUUUUUACUCCUGUUAAAGCCAAUAGAGGUCCAGAUGAUGUGAAAAAAAAACUGUCGGUCAGGUCAGGGCUUUGUUUUGUUUUUUGACUCACUUGAUUCAAACUACUAGAUCAUUGCACAAUAAAGCAAAA